CUUAUCACUGUGCAUCAGACCUGUGUUUAUUGAAUCUCCACCAGUCGCUGAGAUCUAUGGCAUGAUUAACAAGAGAUGCACGCAGGGAGUGGAGAGGGUGGCUUAGGAAAGGGGAGGUGCCUAGGGCAAGGAUGUAAUGAUUUUCUUGUCCUUUCCACAGAAGGAAUGCACACAUUGAGCGUUUGUACAGCAUCCAGCGCAGUGAAGCCCCAAUGUGGAAUGCAGUUCCUUCUGGCUACCCAGGAGUUCAUCUACCAUCCAGCUGCUGUGUGGGCUGUGACUGAGCAUGCGAUUAGGAGAAGGGAGAUUAGUGGUUCUUCAACACCCUCUUAAUGUAAAAAUGGUGUAUUUGGAUACACGAUAUAGGUAUCUUCAGAUAUGCUGACCUAAAUGUG
rnacentral:lncRNA from 1 species